rnacentral:rRNA from 1 species
CUUCUGACUGGCGCCGAUACUCUGGCAACAGAGCGCCGGAUGCCGGAAAUGUUGGUCAAACUUGAUCAUUUAGAGAGAAGUAAAAGUCGUAACAAGGUUUCCGUAGGUGAACCUGCGGAAGGAUCAUUACCGAUGAUAUUCGUCCAACAACUACACAGUUGUACCUUGUGAACCGUACCAAACUAUUCAGGGGUCGGCUUGUCCGUUAAAUGGUCGUCGGACGCGAGAGAUCGCGGCCGCUCGACCGGCCCCGCACGCGUUUUUGUUUUUUAUAAACAUAUGUGUACCUGUCUGACCAAGCGUUGCGGCCGGCCCAAGGGUCGGUCGCGGCAAUUAGAGCAAAUAAACGAGAUACAACUUUUGACGGUGGAUCUCUUGGCUCACGCAUCGAUGAAGAACGCAGCCAGCUAGCGAUAUAUAGUGUGAAGGGCAGAUUCAGUGAUCAAGGAGCAUGCUGUCUGUUUGUCGGAUAUCAUCCAACGCACGCAGCGUGCGGAAUUGAGGCGUCACGGUCCGUACUGCACGGACCGUGUCCCUUGAAAGUCAGAGAGACUCGCCGCGUCGCGGGAAGAUUCCCCGUGCACACCAGCGGAGGCUAAAAUGUCUUUUGCCCUUCGCGUGCCGGGAAGUCGCCGCGUGCGGCGGUCGUCGUCGGGCGAACUUUAAUUAUCUUGACCUCAGAUCAGGCAAGGCUACCCGCUGAAUUUAAGCAUAUUAAUAAGCGGAGGAAAAGAAACUAACAAGGAUUCCCUCAGUAACGGCGAGUGAAGCGGGACCAGCUCAAAUUUGAAAUCUCCGAUGCCUGCAUCGGCGAGUUGUAGUUGCGAGAAGCACUUUCUAGGUGGAUCGGUCGUGCCUAAGUUGCUUGGAACAGCACGUCGCAGAGGGUGACAACCCCG